CAUUCCGGUUUUUGCCGGUGACAAAAUAAUUUCCUCCCAGUUGCUGACCGGUAACCAGUCAGUGAAUUUGGAACAUGGGCCAUAUUCUGAGAUAAAUUACAUGAUGGGCCGUGUUCUAAAAAUCCAAACGUACUGUGAAUGGUUGUAGGGUUUGGAAUUUAUAAUUGGACUUUGCUACAGCAAGAGAUGCCACGUUGCAUCUUGUGCAUCAGCAUUGUCUCAACAUCCACCAUCCAAUUUUUGUGCAAUCGAAAUGGCUGAGAUGAAGGUGAUAUAGUCGACGCUGCUUGGGACGUGGGCCCCUCGCUUCUCGCAUCCGAUCGCGAGUGCCUUGUCGCCGAUAUCGACGUCCAGGUAGUCGCUGGUCAAAUUCGUAAGAGAAAGGUAAUAUGCUGGGGUUGCAAAUUUUUAAUUCUAGGCAUCUUGGUUGAAAGUAAUUAAAUUUUUUUUUUUUAUGUUCUGCUACAUAUGUUUAGACUGAAUAGAAUUGUUAUCUUUUGGGAGUAGGUUCAGUAACAGUGAAGACACCAUUCUCCAUUGAUGCCUUGACUUGAUCGAUCUUGGCAUUUUCAAGCAACCGGAACCUCCUCAGGAACUUGCCGCGGCCCCUCUCAACAUGGUGCCAUUUGUUGUUCUUGUCUUCCUUCUCGACGCUCCUCU
rnacentral:lncRNA from 1 species